rnacentral:rRNA from 1 species
GGAUUCCCCUAGUAACGGCGAGUGAAGCGGGAUGAGCUCAAGCUUAAAAUCUCUGUCACAUAUUUAUUAUGUGCGGCGAAUUGUAGUCUAUAGAAGCGUGGUCAGUGUAGGCACUUGAGAUAAGUUCCUUGAAAAAGGACAGCAUGGAGGGUGAAACUCCCGUUCAUACUUGAGUAGCUUAUGCGUACGACCCGUUUUCUUUGAGUCGCGUUGUUUGAGAAUGCAGCGCAAAGUAGGUGGUAAAUUCCAUCUAAAGCUAAAUAUUGGUGCGAGACCGAUAGCGAACAAGUACCGUGAGGGAAAGAUGAAAAGAACUUUGAAAAGAGAGUUAAAGAGUACCUGAAACUGCUGAAAGGGAACCGGAUCGUUUCUAGUGUCUAUAAUCUGUGACAUAUUUCAUUGGGGAGUGUGUGCGUGUGUAUACUAUGGCAGUGGCUUUUUGGCUGCGCUUGGUGUGCGUGCUGUAUGUGCUUACUGGUGCCCUGUGUUGCGGUGGGACGUCAAGGUCGGUUUGUAUACUGCGGGAAAUGGCUAUUGAGGAGGUAGGGCUUACGCUUGCGUUUGUCUAUUAUAUCUUGGUAGUUGUGUCGUGGUUGAGACUGAGGUGUCUACAACGUGCUUAUGAGUGGGACUGUGUCUCCGUGUGCGCCGUGUGCGGAUAGCUUGCUAUGUGUGUGUGGUGGUGUGUGGAUUGAUGCGGGCUUUAACUUGUUGCCGUUCGGGACGUUGGCGAAAUAGAGCGAUUUGACCCGUCUUGAAACACGGACCAAGGAGUCUAACAUGUGUGCAAGUGUUAGGGUGUGGAAACCCAAGCGCGAAAUGAAAGUAAAGGAUAGUGUAAACUGUCUGAGGUAGGAAAUGCUGCGGAUUUCGGUCUGUGGCGUGGCACUAUCGACCGAUCAUGAACCUUCGUGGUGAAAGAUUUGAGUUUGAGCACAUAUGUUGGUACCCGAAAGAUGGUGAACUAUGCCUGAGUAGGGUGAAGCCAG